ACGGAAAAGUAGGCAAUCGCUAGCAACAUUAAAGUUGCUAGAGGAAAGUCUGGACUUCUCAGGAGAAGAUACCAGUGAAAGACUGGGGGCCGUAAGGCUACGGAAAGUAUCACAGAAAACACUCCGCAACUCUCUUGUUUUAAUAAGGGCAGUUGACAGGCUGAAAAUGGGGAUUUUAGGAAUCCUCCACGCUGAUCGAGAGGUCAGGUGCGAUAAACCCUAUCUGAAGCAAGAAUAGCUCUCCACCAAAGGUGCUCUCCGCGCCGGAGAGUUUAAAAUCGCUUGAGGGCUUUGGCGACAAGGCUCCUAGAAGAAUGAUUGUCCUCGACAGAAUCCGGCUUAACGCUUUUCCGUCUUU
rnacentral:RNase_P_RNA from 1 species